rnacentral:rRNA from 1 species
GAUUUGGCGGACGGGUGAGUAACGCGUGGGAACAUACCCUUUCCUGCGGAAUAGCUCCGGGAAACUGGAAUUAAUACCGCAUACGCCCUACGGGGGAAAGAUUUAUCGGGGAAGGAUUGGCCCGCGUUGGAUUAGCUAGUUGGUGGGGUAAAGGCCUACCAAGGCGACGAUCCAUAGCUGGUCUGAGAGGAUGAUCAGCCACAUUGGGACUGAGACACGGCCCAAACUCCUACGGGAGGCAGCAGUGGGGAAUAUUGGACAAUGGGCGCAAGCCUGAUCCAGCCAUGCCGCGUGAGUGAUGAAGGCCUUAGGGUUGUAAAGCUCUUUCACCGGUGAAGAUAAUGACGGUAACCGGAGAAGAAGCCUCGGCUAACUUCGUGCCAGCAGCCGCGGUAAUAAU